GGGGGGGCAAGCGUUGUUCGGAAUUACUGGGCGUAAAGGGCGCGCAGGCGGGCGAGACAGUCUCUCGUGAAAUCCCACGGCUCAACCGUGGAAUUGCGGGAGAUACUACUCGUCUUGAGUCCGGGAGAGGAGAGCGGAAUUCCCAGUGUAGCGGUGAAAUGCGUAGAUAUUGGGAGGAACACCAGUGGCGAAGGCGGCUCUCUGGACCGGUACUGACGCUGAGGCGCGAAAGCUAGGGGAGCAAACGGGGAUUAGAUACCCCGGUAGUCCUAGCCGUAAACGAUGAGCACUUGGUGUAGCGGGUAUCGACCCCCUGCUGUGCCGAAGCUAACGCAUUAAGUGCUCCGCCUGGGGAGUACGGUCGCAAGGCUG
rnacentral:rRNA from 1 species